rnacentral:tRNA from 1 species
GGGGAUGUGGCUCAAGUGGUAGAGUGCUCACCUAGCAUGUGUGAGGAACUGGGUUCGAUUCUCAGCACCA